rnacentral:rRNA from 1 species
GUGCGGAGCCGUAGCGAAAGCGAGUUUUAACUGAGCGUUCAGUUACUUGACGUAGACCCGAAACCGGGCGACCUACCCAUGAGCAGGAUGAAGCGAAAGUAAAAUUUCGUGGAGGUCCGAACCCACGAGCGUUGAAAAGCUCGGGGAUGACUUGUGGGUAGCGGUGAAAUUCCAAUCGGGCCCGGAGAUAGCUGGUUCUCCCCGAAAUAGCUUUAGGGCUAGCCUCAAGGUGAGAGAUACGGAGGUAGAGCACUGAAUGUCCUAGGGGGUAUUGCACCUACCGAAGACUAUCAAACUCCGAAUGCC